AGACUUUGAUCCUGGCUCAGAUUGAACGCUGGCGGAAUGCUUUACACAUGCAAGUCGAACGGCAGCACGGGUGCUUGCUCCUGGUGGCGAGUGGCGAACGGGUGAGUAAUGCGUCGGAACGUACCGAGUAAUGGGGGAUAACGCACCGAAAGGUGUGCUAAUACCGCAUACGCCCUGAGGGGGAAAGUGGGGGACCGCAAGGCCUCACGUUAUUCGAGCGGCCGACGUCUGAUUAGCUAGUUGGUGGGGUAAAGGCCUACCAAGGCGACGAUCAGUAGCGGGUCUGAGAGGAUGAUCCGCCACACUGGGACUGAGACACGGCCCAGACUCCUACGGGAGGCAGCAGUGGGGAAUUUUGGACAAUGGGGGAAACCCUGAUCCAGCCAUUCCGCGUGAGUGAAGAAGGCCUUCGGGUUGUAAAGCUCUUUCAGCUGGAACGAAACGGUACGCGCUAACAUCGUGUGCUAAUGACGGUACCGGCAGAAGAAGCACCGGCUAACUACGUGCCAGCAGCCGCGGUAAUACGUAGGGUGCGAGCGUUAAUCGGAAUUACUGGGCGUAAAGCGUGCGCAGGCGGAUUGUUAAGCAAGACGUGAAAUCCCCGGGCUUAACCUGGGAAUGGCGUUUUGAACUGG
rnacentral:rRNA from 1 species